UAGUUUCAUUAGAACUAGAUAGACGAAUAUUAACGAAUAAUUUAAAUUUUUACUUAAUUAAAAUUAUAAAAUUUAAUUUGUUUUCAUAAUCAAACACCAGUUUUUUACCUAGUUCUCCCAAACACAAAAAUAAACCACUACCUAAAACGAAAUAAUCUAAACCAGGCCAUAACUAACCCAAUAGGUGCCUGUUUGUUUGUCGCUCCUUACCCGAAACAGUUUCUCUCUUCCCCCUCUCUCUCUUCCUUAGAAAAAAUUGGAGUGAGAGAGAGCUGAGAAGUUGAUUGCCUGAAGAAAUCAGCAUCCAUAGAUGUCUCGGGGUUACGUAGAGAAGCU
rnacentral:lncRNA from 1 species